GACGAACGCUGGCGGCGUGCCUAAUACAUGCAAGUAGAACGCUGAAGGAGGAGCUUGCUUCUCUGGAUGAGUUGCGAACGGGUGAGUAACGCGUAGGUAACCUGCCUGGUAGCGGGGGAUAACUAUUGGAAACGAUAGCUAAUACCGCAUAAGAGUAGAUGUUGCAUGACAUUUGCUUAAAAGGUGCAAUUGCAUCACUACCAGAUGGACCUGCGUUGUAUUAGCUAGUUGGUGGGGUAACGGCUCACCAAGGCGACGAUACAUAGCCGACCUGAGAGGGGGAUCGGCCACACUGGGACUGGGACACGGCCCAGACUCCUACGGGAGGCAGCAGGAGGGAAUCUUCGGCAAUGGACGGAAGGCUGACCGAGCAACGCCGCGUGAGUGAAGAAGGGUUUCGGAUCGGAAAGAUCGGUUGUAAGAGAAGAACGAGUGUGAGAGUGGAAAGUUCACACUGUGACGGUAUCUUACCAGAAAGGGACGGCUAACUACGUG
rnacentral:rRNA from 1 species